rnacentral:rRNA from 1 species
UAGGGAAUCUUCCGCAAUGGACGCAAGUCUGACGGAGCAACGCCGCGUGAGUGAAGAAGGAUUUCGGUUCGUAAAACUCUGUUGUUAGAGAAGAACAGCGCAUAGAGUAACUGUUAUGCGUGUGACGGUAUCUAACCAGAAAGCCACGGCUAACUACGUGCCAGCAGCCGCGGUAAUACGUAGGUGGCAAGCGUUGUCCGGAUUUAUUGGGCGUAAAGCGAGCGCAGGCGGUCAAUUAAGUCUGAUGAAAGCCCCCGGCUCAACCGGGGAGGGUCAUUGGAAACUGGUUGACUUGAGUGCAGAAGAGGAGAGUGGAAUUCCAUGUGUAGCGGUGAAAUGCGUAGAUAUAUGGAGGAACACCAGUGGCGAAGGCGACUCUCUGGUCUGUAACUGACGCUGAGGUUCGAAAGCGUGGGUAGCAAACAGG